rnacentral:lncRNA from 1 species
GCCAUAGCUCUGGCUCUGUGACUCAACCACAGCACUCCCCUCUGCUCUCUGGGCUGUCUAGCAGGUAUAAUGAGACCUUUUGGGAUAGUGUUUCCAGCUCUGAUGUUUCCAACACUGCUCCCAUCGCUCUCUGGAGUUUGGAGAUUGCUUACGUUGAAUCUUGAAUUUCUGGGCAUUUAUUCCUUUAGCAAUUGUGGCACCUGCAACCUAAAAUACUGCCUCAGACAUAAAAAGAGCAGAAGAGAAAAACCCAACUUCUUGAGAGGUUUCCCAGCUCCUAUUUUCUCCAGACUGAAAUGAAAAGGCUGUAUGAGGCAGGGGUAAUGUUUCAUCAUUUCAAUUUUCCAUCAGUGGAGAGCUGUGCUCCUGGAUUCUGUUUCCUAAAAGCUCUGCUUAUUCAGCUUUCACAGCAGGAAAACAAUUGAGGAGGGGUGUCAAGGUCCAUCCAGAGCUCCUGUUUUCCCCAGUUGCCUUAGAAUCAGAGUGGAGGAGGCAGCUGAAACAGUCACCUGUAAAAACAGGUACAGAAAGGAUCCUCCUUACAUGGGUUUGCACUUUUAAGUGUGUCUUGUUAAGUUAUCCCUGUUUUGUGUUUUAUUUUCAAUACUUGUAUGAUGGAUUAAUCAGUAAUUUUAUCCAGAGUACAGCUUGCCACACUUGUUCCCUCACACCACUCUCCAAGAUAUUUCUAAAGAUAUUUGUAUUUAUGACUUUUCCAGGCUCCAACAACGCAAUACAAACAUGUAAAAGGAGACUAAGCACAAAGUACAUUUUAGCCAGUCAGCAUGACAUUUAGACCCCAAAGCUGGUGAAGAGCAGUAAGACCUGCAACCCACACAAAAAACCACAGAAAAAACAGUUGUAUUUGCAAAGAAAUGUAAUUAUUUGUAUUGUUUUGAUUUUUAAUGGUAUUCAUGUAAAAAUGAUUCAGCUUCUCACAGCUAGACCUGGAUGACAUUUGCCCAAAGAACAAUAAGUUUGUUCUUAAAUUAAAAAAGGGGAGAGGGGAACAGGGAAAACAACAUCAUAAGAACUAAAAGUACUUGAGAAGCUGACUCAUCUUUCAAGAGCUUAAGACAAUAUAUGAAUAAAUGGUGAGAUUUUUAAAAUAUUAAACCA